AGAGUUUGAUCCUGGCUCAGAACGAACGCUGGCGGCAGGCUUAACACAUGCAAGUCGAGCGCUCUAGCAAUAGAGAGCGGCGCACGGGUGCGUAACGCGUGGGAACAUGCCCUUGGGUGCGGAACAACGUUGGGAAACUAACGCUAAUACCGCAUAAUAUCUCCGGAUCAAAGAUUCAUCGCCCAGGGAUUGGCCCGCGUUAGAUUAGGUAGUUGGUAGGGUAAUGGCCUACCAAGCCGACGAUCUAUAGCUGGUCUGAGAGGAUGAUCAGCCACACUGGAACUGAGACACGGUCCAGACUCCUACGGGAGGCAGCAGUGAGGAAUAUUGGACAAUGGGCGCAAGCCUGAUCCAGCCAUGCCGCGUGAGUGACGAAGGCCUUAGGGUUGUAAAGCUCUUUCAGGUGCGAAGAUAAUGACAGUAACACCAGAAGAAGCCCCGGCUAAAUUCGUGCCAGCAGCCGCGGUAAUACGAAUGGGGCGAGCGUUGUUCGGAAUCACUGGGCGUAAAGCGUACGUAGGCGGACUAGCAAGUCAGAAGUGAAAUCCCGGGGCUUAACCUCGGAAUUGCUUUUGAAACUGCUAGUCUAGAGGCCCGGAGAGGUCAGCGGCAUUCCGAGUGUAGAGGUGAAAUUCGCAGAUAUUCGGAGGAACACCAGUUGCGUAGGCGGCUGGCUGGACGGGCACUGACGCUGAGGUACGAAAGCGUGGGGAUCAAACAGGAUUAGAUACCCUGGUAGUCCACGCCGUAAACGAUGUGUGCUAGUUGUCGGGGUCUUUAGGCUUCGGUGACGCAGCUAACGCUUUAAGCACACCGCCUGGGGAGUACGGUCGCAAGAUUAAAACUCAAAGGAAUUGACGGGGACCCGCACAAGCGGUGGAGCAUGUUCUUUAAUUCGAAGCAACGCGAAGAACCUUACCUACACUUGACAUGCCUCUUUUGGUUUUCAGAGAUGAUUACCUUCGGUUCGGCCGGGGAGUGCACAGGUGCUGCAUGGCUGUCGUCAGCUCGUGUCGUGAGAUGUUGGGUUAAGUCCCGCAACGAGCGCAACCCCUGUCGUAUGUUGCCAGCAUUUAGUUGGGCACUCAUGCGAGACUGCCGGUGUUAAGCCGGAGGAAGGUGGGGACGACGUCAAGUCAUCAUGGCCCUUACGUGUAGGGCUAGAAACGUGCUACAAUGGCGGUAACAGUGAGCAGCGACGUCGCAAGGCGAAGCUAACCUCAAAAUACCGUCUCAGUUCAGAUUGUCCUCUGCAACUCGAGGGCAUGAAGUUGGAAUCGCUAGUAAUCGCACAUCAGCAUGGUGCGGUGAAUACGUUCCCGGGUCUUGUACACACCGCCCGUCACACCAUGGGAGUUGGUUUUACCCGAAGGCUGUGCGCUAACUUUGGAGGCAGCAGACCACGGUAGGAUCAAUGACUGGGGUGAAGUCGAAACAAGGUAGCCGUUUCGGAAGGAGCGGCUG
rnacentral:rRNA from 1 species